GCCAAGCCAUACUCCCAAGUCCUCACCACAUCGCCUAGCACCCAGCCUAUAUAUCCCGCCCCGCAGCGCAGCACCCAUCAGAGCAGCGCCCAGACGCACCCAGCCCUCACCUCUUUCUUCUCACCACCGGGCCGCCAUGCGCCCUAGCCUCUUUUUUCUCACCAUAGCGGCUCCCUAGGUGUGGAGUGGACGAGCUCCUGGCCUUCGUCUCCGUCGUCAAGUCCCACCGACAAGACAAGGCACUCGCUCCGCCCCUUCUUGCACGUACGUCCAGCCGCCCGCGCUACGUCCGAUAGUACUGGAAGUGGAAGCAGUUUCCGUUUCAUAUCUUGAGUUUAUCUAUCUAUAUACAUCAACCCAAGAAGAAGAAGAAAAUGUCGGUGCUUAUGUUAGACGUCGUUACCAGUAUUAACCCUCCAUUAGCGCAUCUGGGCACCGGUUUUGUUGCUUAUUUCCGUCGAAGAACAGUCCUAAUAAUAACAAAUGAGCAUGUUGUCCAAGGAGCUAUGUUUGUUAGGGUUAGGCUCCCGGGCGGAAGCCAACAGUUCACUGGAGAAGUGCUGGUGGCAGACGACCAAGUGGACCUUGCUAUAGUUCGAUUGGUUAAUGUGGAGGGACCGUUUCAACGUAUGGUGUUCGCGGAUGUACCUAUUGAUAACUUUCCAUGGACGGCAUAUGCUCAUGGAUAUUUCUUGGUCCUUGGAGCGCCGGUCAUCAACCCUGCGAGGGCUCCCGGUGAGAUUAACGGCGCGUUCUUUCGAAACAAUGUUCACUACCUACAAGGGAAUUUCGCACUUCAGCAUGGAAUGUCCGGUGGACCAGUUACGAUGGGAAACAGAGUCAUUGGAGUCAGUGCCGCAGCUGCGUGGGGAUCGAGCGUCAUUGUUUCCCUGCGUACUGUACACAUGACACUUAUGUUUUGGUGUGGUCUUAAUGACGGAGACCCUACUAUUGAUGAGAUGCUAGAAAUGCUUGCUGCUGGUGCCGCCUAAUCAGUUCCACAAUUUCAAGUAAAAUCAAGGAAUGAAAUAUCAGCAGUGGCAUGGAGUGCUUGCUUGUUGCGUUGCUGAAUCCUGGAGUCGACUGGAAGAUGGUUUAUUGUUAUUUAAAAUUUUAUUUUCGAAGCUGUUGGAGUGAUGUGUUAAGUUAUUCGUGUCAUGUCAGUUUGUGUAUUAUUCAUGUACUAGGCUACAUUACAAUGUUAAGUAUUGUUAUUUGUUGUAUGUAUGUAUCAAUGUAUCGGACCGAUUAUGAGUAUUUUGAGCUGAUGUGAU